GUAAAAUUGUUUUAGGGUUCUGUUUGUAUUUUUAUGUAAUUUUAAACAAUUUUACCAAUUAUUUACUUAUUUCCAUUGGUCAGAGACUCAACCAUUAUAAGAAACUUUUAUUAUCUAAACUAUCAGACUAAAAGAUACGAUCAAAAUAUCAAGUCCUAUGAAGAGCAAACUAUCAAGUCUCAUACUCAAGUCCUAUCAAACUAUCAAACUAAACGAUCAAGAGCAAGCAACCAUAUGUAAGAGACGAUCAAGAGCAAGCAACCAUAUGUACUAGUAACCUAGUACCUAAAUUCUAUCAGCUCUUAUCAUAAGCAAUGGAGACGACAAAAAAAAAAAUAGAACAGAGACUAACCUGAGGUCCUUUGCCUUAUAGACCGGAAUGCAAGUGUCCUUUGCAUUCUCAUAUCAUUCUCCUCCUUGAUCAUAAUACAAUCCCCCACUCA
rnacentral:lncRNA from 1 species